UGUAUUAUUGCAUCUUUAAAAAUCUCUUCUAUCAUCUUUUAUUUUGAUAUCUGGGCCUGAUCAUGUGGCAUCUUGAUUUUGGCAGGAAAAGGUGGAAGAAUUAGGUAUGGUUAGGCCUUCUUCAAAAGUGAUCAUCAAGUUUUCUUCUUAUUUAAAGACAUGGUAUAUUGGUGAUUUUGAGUAUGUUGAUGACCGCACAUCAAGGAUUAGUAGGAGCUGAACAAAGCAAAACCAAGUAGCCAAUUCUUCUGUGAGUGCAGUGGUAGCAAACCUCAACUAGGGGCUAGAUGUGGUGCGAAAAUCUUCGUAGGUAUUGCAUAUAUUGAACCAAUGAGCUCUUGGUCUAGUGGUCCAAAAGAUGUGGGAGGCUUUGCCUCUCUGGAGGUCCUGAAUUCAAAUCCAGACAAUGGUGGUUAGUUAUUAUCUGGCGAUAACUGACUGCUAACAACUAACAUUUGUUGUUAAAAUAAAAGGUAUUACAUAUAUGGAAUAUAAUUGUAACAUGAGUUUCAUUAAAAUGAUUUAUUGAUAUUAUUUGCUUA